UAGGGAAUCUUCCGCAAUGGGCGAAAGCCUGACGGAGCAACGCCGCGUAGUGAUGAAGGUCUUCGGAUCGUAAAACUCUGUUAUUAGGGAAGAACAAAUGUGUAAGUAACUAUGCACGUCUUGACGGUACCUAAUCAGAAAGCCACGGCUAACUACGUGCCAGCAGCCGCGGUAAUACGUAGGUGGCAAGCGUUAUCCGGAAUUAUUGGGCGUAAAGCGCGCGUAGGCGGUUUUUUAAGUCUGAUGUGAAAGCCCACGGCUCAACCGUGGAGGGUCAUUGGAAACUGGAAAACUUGAGUGCAGAAGAGGAAAGUGGAAUUCCAUGUGUAGCGGUGAAAUGCGCAGAGAUAUGGAGGAACACCAGUGGCGAAGGCGACUUUCUGGUCUGUAACUGACGCUGAUGUGCGAAAGCGUGGGGAUCAAACAGG
rnacentral:rRNA from 1 species